rnacentral:rRNA from 1 species
GACGUAGGGCGCGAGCGUUGUCCGGAUUUAUUGGGCGUAAAGAGCUCGUAGGCGGCUUGUCGCGUCGGCUGUGAAAACCCGCGGCUCAACUGUGGGCGGGGUCGGCGGAUACGGCCGAGCUGGAGCAAGCUAGGGGGUAAUGGAAUUCCCGGUGUAGUGGUGGAAUGCGUAGACAUCGGGAGGAACACCAGUGGCGAAGGCGGUUACCUGGAGCUUUGCUGACGCUGAUGCGCGAAAGCGUGGGGAGCGAUCCGG